rnacentral:rRNA from 1 species
UACGGAGGUGCAAGCGUUAUCCGGAUUCACUGGGUUAAAGGGUGCGUAGGCGGGUUGGUAAGUCCGUGGUGAAAUCCCCAAGCUUAACUUGGGAACUGCCGUGGAUACUAUCAAUCUUGAAUAUCGUGGAGGUAAGCGGAAUAGUGUCAUGUAGCGGUGAAAUGCUUAGAUAUCGAGAGGAACACCUGCGGCGAAGGCGGGGUUGCUGGGCCGACACUGACGCUGAUGCGCGAAAGCCAGGGGAGCGAACGGG